GCUUAUCUCCGCCGGAAUUCUAUAAUAAAAGAUGCAGACUUACAACAUUGCCUUGUCUUACUUCCAUCUAAGAAAGUCGGAGGAGAUAGUCAGCAGGAUAUCAAAGAGAAGUUCUUCAGAGUUUGGUUACCAACAGUGCAAUUCUACGCAGUCUAAUCGUUUAAUGGGACUUCCUACCAGCAAACACUUGUCCUAACCAUUGACUCGUGAACUUCAGCACCUGUAUCAUCAAGUAUGACUCCUGCAGGAAGGCAAUAUUAAAGAAUGGUUUGGUUUCUAAAAAAUGCAAGGAUGAAAUAAGCCUCAGAUCACCCAACUGGGGAGAAGGGUACC